UUAAGUUCAGCGGGUAUCCCUACCUGAUCCGAGGUCAACCUGAAAAAAGGAUGAUUGGUUGUCGGCUGGCGCCGGCCGGGCCUACAGAGCGGGUGACAAAGCCCCAUACGCUCGAGGACCGGACUCGGUGCCGCCGCUGCCUUUCGGACCCGUCCCCGGGGGGACGGAGCCCAACACACAAGCCGUGCUUGAGGGCAGCA
rnacentral:misc_RNA from 1 species